UAAAUGUGAGACGGGUGGUUAUGUUGUGUUUGAUGUUAGUUGGUAAAUGUGAGACAGGUGGUUGUGUUGUGUUUGAUGUUAGUUGGUAAAUGUGAGACGGGUGGUUGUGUUGUGUUUGAUGUUAGUUGGUAAAUGUGAGACAGGUGGUUGUGUUGUGUUUGAUGUUAGUUGGUAAAUGUGAGACGGGUGGUUGUGUUGUGUUUGAUGUUAGUUGGUAAAUGUGAGACAGGUGGUUGUGUUGUGUUUGAUGUUAGUUGGUAAAUGUGAGACGGGUGGUUGUGUUGUGUUUGAUGUUAGUUGGUAAAUGUGAGACGGGUGGUUGUGUUGUGUUUGAUGUUAGUUGGUAAAUGUAAGACGGGUGGUUGUGGUGUGUUUGAUGUUAGUUGGUAAAUGUGAGACGGGAGGUUGUGUUGUCUUUGAUGUUAGUUGGUAAAUGUGAGACGGGUGGUUGUGUUGUGUUUGAUGUUAGUUGGUAAAUGUAAGACGGGUGGUUGUGUUGUGUUUGAUGUUAGUUGGUAAAUGUGAGACGGGUGGUUGUGUUGUGUUUGAUGUUAGUUGCUAAAUGUGAGACGGGUGGUUGUGUUGUGUUUGAUGUUAGUUGGUAAAUGUGAGACGGGUGGUUGUGGUGUGUUUGAUGUUAGUUGGUAAAUGUGAGACGGGUGGUUGUGGUGUGUUUGAUGUUAAUUGGUAAAUGUGAGACGGGUGGUUGUGUUGUGUUUGAUGCUAGUUGGUAAAUGUGAGACGGGUGGUUGUGGUGUGUUUGAUGUUAGUUGGUAAAUGGGAGACGGGUGGUUGUGGUGUGUUUGAUGUUAGUUGGUAAAUGUGAGACGGGUGGUUGUGGUGUGUUUGAUGUUAGUUGGUAAAUGUGAGACGGGUGGUUGUGUUGUGUUUUUGAUGUUAGUUGGUAAAUGUGAGACAGGUGGUUGUGUUGUGUUUGAUGCUAGUUGGUAAAUGUGAGACGGGUGGUUGUGGUGUUUUUGAUGUUAGUUGGUAAAUGUGAGACGGGUGGUUGUGUUGUGUUUUUGAUGUUAGUUGUUAAAUGUGAGACGGGUGGUUGUGUUGUGUUUGAUGUUAGUUGGUAAAUGUGAGACGGGAGGUUGUGUUGUGUUUGCUGUUAGUUGGUAAAUG